GUCCAGGUUACAUAGUGACUCACUACCGUAAUGGUCCAGGUUACAUAGUGACUCAUUGACUCACUACUGUAAUGGUCCAGGUUACAUAGUGACUCACUACUGUAAUGGUCCAGGUUACAUAGUGACUCACUACCGUAAUGGUCCAGGUUACAUAGUGACUCACUACUGUAAUGGUCCAGGUUACAUAGUGACUCACUACCGUAAUGGUCCAGGUUACAUAGUGGCUCACUACUGUAAUGGUCCAGGUUACAUAGUGACUCACUACUGUAAUGGUCCAGGUUACAUAGUGACUCACUACUGCAAUGGUCCAGGUUACAUAGUGACUCACUACUGUAAUGGUCCAGGUUACAUAGUGACUGACUACUGUAAUGGUCCAGGUUACAUAGUGACUCACUACUGUAAUGGUCCAGGUUACAUAGUGACUCACUACUGUAAUGGUCCAGGUUACAUAGUGACUGACUAC